UUUCUUAUUUAUGAAAUAUCUCGUUGGAAUCAAUGACAUCUUAUAUACACGCGACGAAAAUAGAAAUACAUUUUUUUUAAAUACAUAAUGUGACGUGUUGAGGAGGAUGUGACGUCAGUACGUACGUCAUAGUCACGUGGUAAGAUUUGAAAUUAAACCUCGAAUCGCGCAACAACACAGCUAUCAGCAAACCGCGUUUCGGAUAUUAUUCGAGAGGAUUGCGACGAAACAGGAGUGUUUGAUGACUUUUCGGAGGUAACAUCGCUCAGGAUGGCUUUAGGAUUUGAAAAAUCAAUUAGCUUGAAGAUGGAUGAACUGUCGCCUCACGUUUGGAGUGCUCCAGGCAUCCCGCUGGAGCCUGCGGCCCCGUCCCAGAGGAGCCAGGCUCCGGAGGAACACGCGUCCCAGCAGGAGGGUCAAGUGCAGAUCAUGUACUGUAAAGAGCAGGUGUAUCAGGGAGACGCAGAGUUCAGUCUGGAAGAGCUCCGAGCGCAGCGCUACUGCAGAGCUUUGAGCGGUACGGCCAGACGCUGCGAAUGUUUGAUAGAGCUACAAUUAAAAAGAAUUAAUAAAAACUGUAUAGACAUAUUAAAAUAAUAAUAA
ensembl:lncRNA